rnacentral:rRNA from 1 species
UACGUAGGGUGCAAGCGUUGUCCGGAAUUAUUGGGCGUAAAGAGCUCGUAGGCGGUCUGUCGCGUCUGCUGUGAAAACUCAGGGCUUAACCCUGAGCUUGCAGUGGGUACGGGCAGACUAGAGUGCGGUAGGGGAGACUGGAAUUCCUGGUGUAGCGGUGAAAUGCGCAGAUAUCAGGAGGAACACCCGUGGCGAAGGCGGCCAGCUGGGUCGUCCCUGACGCUGAGGCGGCGAAGGCGUGGGGAGCGAACGGG